AGUGAACGCUGGCGGUAGGCCUAACACAUGCAAGUCGAACGGCAGCACAGUAAGAGCUUGCUCUUACGGGUGGCGAGUGGCGGACGGGUGAGGAAUACAUCGGAAUCUACUUUUUCGUGGGGGAUAACGUAGGGAAACUUACGCUAAUACCGCAUACGACCUACGGGUGAAAGCAGGGGAUCUUCGGACCUUGCGCGAUUGAAUGAGCCGAUGUCGGAUUAGCUAGUUGGCGGGGUAAAGGCCCACCAAGGCGACGAUCCGUAGCUGGUCUGAGAGGAUGAUCAGCCACACUGGAACUGAGACACGGUCCAGACUCCUACGGGAGGCAGCAGUGGGUAAUAUUGGACAAUGGGCGCAAGCCUGAUCCAGCCAUACCGCGUGGGUGAAGAAGGCCUUCGGGUCGUAAAGCCCUUUUGUUGGGAAAGAAAAGCAGCAGGUUAAUACCCCGCUGUUCUGACGGUACCCAAAGAAUAAGCACCGGCUAACUUCGUG
rnacentral:rRNA from 1 species